rnacentral:tRNA from 1 species
AACCUUAUAGUCAAAAAUGAUAUUAGACUGCAAUUCUAAAGGAGUAAUUAAUUUAUUAUUUAGGUUU